CCUGUUUGGUGGUCUCUUCACACGGACGCGCAUGAAACCUAUAAGCCCAAGACUGAAGUCUUACUGGUUGUUGCUAUGAAGAGGAAAUGAAUUUCUCUUCACUUUCCUUUUUAAAUUAUUCUCUACUCUUCUCCAGACUGGCUACUGGCCAAUUGGGAUAUCCUUUUAUCAGUCAAAGCUAUGUCCUGGUCAAUGGAUUUCAAACUGUUGAGGAUCUAUGGUGAGCACUGGGGACUGUGUCUGAGAACGUUCAUUGAGGGACAUCUUCUAACUCACCUUUUACAAACCCAACCAUUCUCAGGUGCUACCAGAGAAUGUAAGGUGCUGCUGAUUUGCCACGUGCUUUUAAAACAAGGAAGGUUAUUAUUAACUCACACGAUCACAAGGUCCCACAACAGGCCAACUGCAGGCUGAGGAGCAAGGAGAGCCAGUCCAAGUUCCAAAACUGAAGAACUUGGAGUCUGAUGUUCAAGGUCAGGAAGCAUCCAGCAUGAGAGAAAGAGGUAGGCUGGGAGGCUAGGCCAGUCUCUCUUUUCACAUUUUUCUGCCUGCUUAUAUUCUAGCUGCACUGGUAGCUGAUUAGAUUGUGCCCACUCAGAUAAAGGGUGGGUCUGCCUUUCCCAGCCCACUGACUCACAUGUUAAUCUCCUUUGGCAACACCCUCACAGACACACCCAGAUCAAUAUUCUGUAUCUUUCAAUCCAAUCAAGUUGACACUCAGUAUUAACCAUCACAGGAAGUAUACAAAUUUGACUUAGCCUUGUUAUCUUUACUUACUAUCUUUAUCGUUUUACCUGCUCACCCUGCCCCUGCCUGGUUUCCUAGGUCAAAUUAGGAAUUAAUCUUACAGCAAAGACCCCCUAUUUCAAAAACAGACAAACAAAAAACCUCUGUCUCAGUUUCUGCCUGCCCAAAAGAGAUGUUUCUACUAGUCAGAACAAACAUCAGAGAUGGACUUUGAUCAGAAACUCAGGAAGUGGGAGAGGAUGCAGGUCAGGUUAAGAGAAAUAGUGCAGUUCCAACCCUGGGCAGCCCUAAGUAAGAGUCAUCAGAAGCUUCCAGGCAAUUGUCACUGAAAAAUAAGUGCUAUAGCACUACCUCAGCUGCUGCAACCACAGACCUCAUUCAGAAAUCUUUAUUGUAUUAACCCUUGUGUGUCCGGAAUUGGUGGGUUCUUGGUCUCACUGACUUCAAGAAUGAAGCCUGGGACACUCACGGAAGGCUAAAGCUCUAUAACCAUUGAAAGCUGGCUGGGGGAAAAGAAGAAGAGGCAAAAAGAUCAACUGAAGAAUAAACUGCUGUCAUUGGCACAAAAGAAUACCACAAAGAUUAUUUACAAAACUCGAAUCAGGAGUAGAACAGACCUCCAUGUGGAAGUUCAAUUAUGCUAAGAGGAAAGAGGAAAGGGGAAGAGUUUACAGAAAUAAAUUAAUGAUGAUGAUAAACUAUUUUCAAGCCCUUACAUUUUUUUUUUUUAUGGAGUUUCGCUCUGUCACCCAUGCUGGAGUGCAAUGGCAUGAUCUCAGCUCUCUGCAAUCUCCACCUCCCUGAUUCAAGCAAUUCUCCUGCCACAGCCUCCCGAGCAGCUGGGAUUACAGGCAUG
rnacentral:lncRNA from 10 species